UGUCAUAAUGUGGUAUCACAUCAUGGUUGAUGUAGGCAAACAGCUCAAUUCUGACUUCACAGGAGUCAGAGCAGGGCUUUCAGGGGCCAGAAAUAGAGAAGAUUGGCCUUUCCAUUUUCUGUCUUCUAUGAUUACAGAUGCAAUGCCCCUUACUGGAUUUUAUGCAUAUAAAUGUGUUUAUAUCUCAAUGAAUAACAAAGCAUCUUUACAAGAUAUAGACAAAUAUCACAUGGUUGAAAAUACAGGACAGUUUAUCAAGAAAAAUCCCAUGUAUGAGAACCAUUGGCUAAAGGCAGAAGUUGCUGGGAAACAAAAGACAGAGGGGGAUGUACUACACUGACUGCAGUUCAUUAGGAAAUUGAG
rnacentral:lncRNA from 1 species